rnacentral:rRNA from 1 species
GACGAACCGAGCGACCGUUGUUCGGAAUCACUGGGCUUAAAGGGCGCGUAGGCGGGUGCUCAAGUCCGGGGUGAAAUCCUCCAGCUCAACUGGAGAACUGCCUCGGAUACUGGGUGCCUCGAGGGUGGUAGGGGUAUGCGGAACUAUCGGUGGAGCGGUGAAAUGCGUUGAUAUCGAUAGGAACGCCGGUGGCGAAGGCGGCAUACUGGACCACUUCUGACGUUGAGGCGCGAAAGCCAGGGGAGCAAACGGG